GCCAGAUCCGGUCUGGGAGCGGCGACGGGGGGCGUUUCACGCUCCUGCGAUCGGUCGAGGAGUGGCGACCCGCCGGAUCGUCCCUGGUGAUUCGGCA
rnacentral:tRNA from 2 species